UUUGUGUAUGUGUGUAUUUGUCGGAAUCACCAUCAAAAAUAAAAACAAAAAAAAUAAUAAAUAACAUCCGCGACCCGCGAUGCGCGUAGCGUCAUAAAAUUCAAAUUUCAUUUGCCGAAUAGCUGAGAUAAUGCUGUCGUAAACGAAAGGUCUCGAAAAUGAAAAACGAAGAUUGACGUGGCACCAUCUCACGAAAACCCAGUCUGUCGUUUUCGUCGUUUUCCCUCCUUUCUGUCGUACGGCAUACAGAAUUGUAAAUCCCAUGCAAGGAUAAAUUAAGGGUUUCGAUGAGGUGGUCAUCGUGAUUUUCUCCAAUUAACUCCAAACCUGUGUUGCCGGCCAGAAGAACUAGCCAAUUGGCCAAUUGGUUUUGAAUUGGCUUGCAAAGUAAGCAUCGCGAGACGAGGCUCCGUCGUUCAAGUCUGGCUUAGUUCCGGAUCCCAAGAAAAAUCCGUAGCGUUGGAUAUACUGAAUUUGUGUCGACAAUGUUAUGGGCAACCAAGGAUUUGCCGUUAACUAUAAGUCGAAAUCGUCAGCGUUGGAUUGAGAGAGAGAGAGACCAUGGAAGAAAGCUCCUAGGAGAAAUUUCAAAAUUGAAAGUAUUUUUAUAUAUAUUUAAUUUUAACAAAUAAUUUAAUAAUUCUAUUGGCUUAUAUAUACAACAUGUUUAUUUUUUCAAAAUCUCUUGUUUGGAUUAUUUUCAUAACACAACUACGAAUAAUUUCAUCAACAUCACUAUUUUGAAUUAAACUAUCACACUCUUAUUUUUAAUAGUGUCUUCUGAGGCGUCUCUUUUUCGAUUUGACAGUUUUAAAAUUCAUUUUAAAAGUUUGAACUUUUAAUUUUAUGAUGUGAGCAAGGGUAUGACAAACUUUUUCAAAAACAAUUGGCGUACUCUAGAUUUGAUUUUAUGCAACUCUCUAUAGAGAGUUGGUUCGUAUACGAAAAAUAACCAACGCAACUUUUUAUUUUAACCAAUGGUUUUUCUAAUUGCAUCAAUGGUAUUUCUUUCUGUGUGGGUAUCUCCUGGCUGUAAAUGAUAUUAUUUUAUGUUGACUUUUGAUAAUUAAAAACCAUCAUUAUCAUCUUUAUCGAAAAU